UACGUAGGGGGCUAGCGUUGUCCGGAAUCAUUGGGCGUAAAGCGCGUGUAGGCGGUCCGGUAAGUCCGCUGUGAAAGUCGGGGGCUCAACCCUCGAAUGCCUGUGGAUACUGUCGGGCUAGAGUGCGGAAGAGGCGAGUGGAAUUCCUGGUGUAGCGGUGAAAUGCGCAGAUAUCAGGAGGAACACCUAGUGCGAAGGCAGCUCGCUGGGACGUAACUGACGCUGAGACGCGAAAGCGUGGGGAGCAAACAGG
rnacentral:rRNA from 1 species